rnacentral:tRNA from 1 species
CAAAUUAGAGCUUGAUUGAAGCAUUUUAUUUACAUUAAAAAGUUAAUUGUGAAAUUCAAUUUAAUUUGA